GGCGGCUUAGCCAAGUGGGAAGGCGGGGGUCUGCAAAACCCUUAUUCGUCGGUUCGAAUCCGACAGCCGCCUCCA
rnacentral:tRNA from 1 species